GUAGCUGUAGCUUAACUGGAUAGAGCAUCCGGCUACGAACCGGAAGGUUGCAGGUUCAAGUCCUGUCAGCUGCACCA
rnacentral:tRNA from 1 species